UACGAAGGGGGCUAGCGUUGCUCGGAAUUACUGGGCGUAAAGGGAGCGUAGGCGGACAUUUUAAGUCAGAGGUGAAAUCCCGGAGCUUAACUUCGGAACUGCCUUUGAUACUGGGUGUCUUGAGUGUGAGAGAGGUAUGUGGAACUCCGAGUGUAGAGGUGAAAUUCGUAGAAUAUUCGGAAGAACACCAGUGGCGAAGGCGACAUACUGGCUCAUUACUGAACGCUGGAGGCUCGAAAGCCGUGGGGAGCAAACAGG
rnacentral:rRNA from 1 species